GACGAACGCUGGCGGCGUGCCUAAUACAUGCAAGUCGAGCGGAUGGAAGGAAGCUUGCUUCCUAAAGUCAGCGGCGGACGGGUGAGUAACACGUGGGCAACCUGCCCCUAAGAUCGGGGUAACUUCGGGAAACCGGAGCUAAUACCGGAUAUGAUUAUUUCUCACAUGAGACGUAAUGGAAAGACGGUUUCGGCUGUCACUUAGGGAUGGGCCCGCGGCGCAUUAGCUAGUUGGUGAGGUAACGGCUCACCAAGGCGACGAUGCGUAGCCGACCUGAGAGGGUGAUCGGCCACACUGGGACUGAGACACGGCCCAGACUCCUACGGGAGGCAGCAGUAGGGAAUCUUCCGCAAUGGACGAAAGUCUGACGGAGCAACGCCGCGUGAGUGAUGAAGGCUUUCGGGUCGUAAAACUCUGUUGUUAGGGAAGAACAAGUACGAGAGUAACUGCUCGUACCUUGACGGUACCUAACCAGAAAGCCACGGCUAACUACGUGCCAGCAGCCGCAGUAAGAC
rnacentral:rRNA from 1 species